rnacentral:lncRNA from 1 species
GGUGGUGGUAGUCACCAGGCAGGUGCCAGACAGCCGUCACUCAGACGGUGCCAUGUCCGGCUCCAAAGCCAAAGCCGACUUCCUGGAGCUGGCCACUCCUACGGCCACGCAAGCAGGGCACGGACUGCCCCUGCUGCCCCAGGAGGAAAAGGACACACCUGAAUGGACCAGACCAAUUCUCACCCAGGUGCCAUUAUGCAGCGAACAAUCUCCAUUACCACUGGGGGUAAUUUCAUUUGCUAAAUGGACAGAGUGAGUGGUAGAGGAUUUGGGGCCAAGAAAGUAGUGUAAGCAAGGACAUACUGGAGAUAAAUUCAGAAAAAUUGGAGAAGGGCAAUGUUUCCUGAGUUCGUCCUCCUUAACAUUGGAGGGGCUCACUUUACCACGUGAUAGUCUACUCUGCAGCACUAUGAAGACACAUGCUGGCUGUCAUGUUUAGAGGGCGGCAUUACAUCCCUACAGACUCCAAGGAUUGGUACUUCAUCAACAGAGACAGCACACACUUUGGAGAUGCGCUGAACUUCCUGCAUUCAGGGGACCUGCCACCCGGGGAGCAAGUGCGAGCUGUGCACAAAGAGGUCCAGUACUAUGCCAUUGGACCCCUCCUGGAGCAGCUGGAGAACAUGCAGCCACCGAAGGGUGAGAAGGUGCGCCAGACCUUCCUGGGGCUCAUGUCCAUUACAAGGACCAUUUGGAGCGGAUAGUGGCGAUUGCCCAGCUUCAUACGAUACAGCGGAAGGCCCGCUUUGCCAAGCUGAAAGUCUAUGUCUUCAAGGAACAGAUGCCCGUCACCCUCAUGAGUGUCUACUCCUUAACGCCCUCUGCCCCUCCGCUUUGAGCGGAGAGUGAUGGACAGCUUUUUGAGCACCACUACUAAGUGGACAUGCCUUUUGGGCCCUGGGAGUCGUGGCUCAUGUGUACGACCUCUUACACUGCCUGGUCGCUGACCUCUCAGCCCAGGGCCUCACGGUGGACCACCAGUGUAUCAAGGUGUGUGACAAGCACCUUGUCAACCACUACUACUGCAAGUACCCCAUCUAUGAGCUCAAAAUCACGUGGUGGUGA